rnacentral:rRNA from 1 species
UACAGAGGUCUCAAGCGUUGUUCGGAUUCAUUGGGCGUAAAGGGUGCGUAGGUGGCGCCGUAAGUCGGGUGUGAAAUUUCGGAGCUUAACUCCGAAACUGCAUUCGAUACUGCGGUGCUUGAGGACUGGAGAGGAGACUGGAAUUCAUGGUGUAGCAGUGAAAUGCGUAGAGGUCAUGAGGAAGACCAGUGGCGAAGGCGGGUCUCUGGACAGUUCCUGACACUGAGGCACGAAGGCCAGGGGAGCAAACGGG